rnacentral:rRNA from 1 species
UGCAGUCGAGCGAGACCUUCGGGUCUAGCGGCGGACGGGUGAGUAACGCGUGGGAACGUGCCCUUUGCUACGGAAUAGUCCCGGGAAACUGGGUUUAAUACCGUAUGUGCCCUUCGGGGGAAAGAUUUAUCGGCAAAGGAUCGGCCCGCGUUGGAUUAGGUAGUUGGUGGGGUAAUGGCCUACCAAGCCGACGAUCCAUAGCUGGUUUGAGAGGAUGAUCAGCCACACUGGGACUGAGACACGGCCCAGACUCCUACGGGAGGCAGCAGUGGGGAAUCUUAGACAAUGGGGGCAACCCUGAUCUAGCCGUGCCGCGUGAGUGAUGAAGGCCUUAGGGUUGUAAAGCUCUUUCAGCUGGGAAGAUAAUGACGGUACCAGCAGAAGAAGCCCCGGCUAACUCCGUGCCAGCAGCCGCGGUAAUACGGAGGGGGCUAGCGUUGUUCGGAAUUACUGGGCGUAAAGCGCACGUAGGCGGACUGGAAAGUUGGGGGUGAAAUCCCGG